rnacentral:rRNA from 1 species
AGCAGUCGCCACGGGAAUACGUAGGGUGCAAGCGUUAAUCGGAAUUACUGGGCGUAAAGCGUGCGCAGGCGGUGUUGUAAGACUGAUGUGAAAUCCCCGGGCUCAACCUGGGAACUGCAUUGGUGACUGCAACGCUGGAGUGCGGCAGAGGGGGAUGGAAUUCCGCGUGUAGCAGUGAAAUGCGUAGAUAUGCGGAGGAACACCGAUGGCGAAGGCAAUCCCCUGGGCCUGCACUGACGCUCAUGCACGAAAGCGUGGGGAGCAAACAGGAUUAGAUACCCCCGUAGUCCCUGUCUCUUAUAC